AGAAUACAAAGCAAGAGUAGGGGAAACACGGUCCUCUUGACAUACUAGAAGUGAGAUAAGCUGCGUAGAGGAAGCAACAACCCCCCUGUUGACAGGGCACACCCGCCGUGAACCCUAUAUAUUAAGCAAGCGAAUGGAAGAAUCCGUAGCCAAACUUAGUACAAAUAGAACGGCCUAACAAUUGGUUCAACCUUUUGAAAGGGAUAUAGGAAAUGUCAUCAAGAUUGUGAAAGACGUGUUGGACAAUAGCAGGAUUCAAGAUAGUAUUGUGAGGACGAUUGAUGACUGUAACAGUAACCCUGCCUGCUAUAUCGAAUUAAAAGUUUCUAAUGAGAGGUACAUAGAACUAUGUGUUACUCCAAGUAAGACACAAGGAUAUAAAACAUGCGUUAAAAGGAAGUGCAGCUGUGUGAAGUCAGAGGGUAAUGAUGAACUCGGUAUUCCAAAUAUAGACUUGAAAUGCAGUGACGAAAUAUAUAACUAUACAUCGUGUGAAGAGAAUAAUGACCUAGAAAAUAACACAAGUAAACAUCAUCAAGGUCUCUCCACCUCCUCAUAUAUGUCAAAUUCAAAUGAUGCUAGAAAUGAGCCAAAUCCCUUAACAACAGAAGAAUCGAAGAAAGGAUUCCUAGAUGGUAAGAGUGAAUGCACACACUUAUAUAUACAAUAUAAUUCAAAUUAAUUUUUUUUAAAUAAUUUCAUUUGCUAAUCAUUUACAUGACACGAAACUAAGCUACAGGGCCUUGUCGAUAUCGUAUGGAUAAAUCAUCGACAAGUAGGAAUCUAGAUCAACUGUGAGAGGUAAAAAUGUACAAAGUUAAAAUAUGUAGUAAUUAUAUUUUUGAAUUCAAAUGGUUAUAUUUUUCGUAAAACAUGUAAAAACUAGAUAAAAUCGAAUUAUGAAGGAACAAAAAUAAAUUACAUCAUAUCAUGAUAUCGUUAAUAUCGGUUGUUUGACGAACAAGGUAUCAAUAAACAUCGCAAGGAGUAUGUCGCUUAAUACGCCCGAACAUCCAAACGGAAAAGCAUGCAGCAAGAAAAUUCUGCUUUGACCUGGGAAGUUCCAACUCCACCCGAUUACGAGAAGUGUCGGAUCAAGGGUCAAAUACAAAAAAUUAUACAAAGCACUAAAAUAACCAACGACAUGAACAACCAGAUCAUCAUUAUAUAUAUAUAUAUGUAAAAAGACUCCAAAGUGCGAUGGGACUCCAAAGUGCGAUGGGACUCCAAAAUGCGAUGGUCACGCCAAACCUCGAUGAUCUGCGCCAAACCCCGAUGGUCUGACACGCCAAAGUGCGAUGGUCUGACACGCCAAAGUGCGAUGGUGUGACACGCCGAAAUCCAUUGGUUUGUAAACGACACAGUGUUUUGGUACAGACUGUACCAACCGUGUGUUGUUUCACUAAAAUAUCAGUGCAAAAUUCAUGCAUAAAAAAAUAAGAAGUUCAACUUAUUUCAUUACCAUCUAGUUGUCGUGUUAUUAAACAAAAUUUUCCAACGCGAAAUCGUUUAGAAUGCUUUGCAUUAUAACGUAUCCCUAGGAUUUUGUUAUGUGUACGUCACAAGUAAUAAAUGAUCAUGAAUUAAAGAAUGUUUGGGCGAAGGAGAUAGUUCGACAACAUAUGUACUUUGCCGUUCUCACUAUCCUCAACAGUGUAAGCCUUGCCGUUGCUGUCGUCCGUGUUGCAUUUAUUCGGCUUCAUUUUGAAAGACGUUAAGAAUGACGUCACAGUUACGUGACGUCACAAACGUUACUGAACUCCGCACCAUCGGACUUUGGCGUGGCCAUCGCACUUUGGCGUCCGUAACGUUAACAAACCGUCGCACUUUGGCGCAGACCAUCGCACUUUGGCGUGAUCAUCGCACUUUGGCGCGACCAUCGCACUUUAGAGUCUUACACACACACACAACACACACACACACACACACACACACACACACACAUAUAUAUAUAUAUAUAUAUAUAUAUAUAUAUAUAUAUAUAUAUAUAUAUAUAUAGUUUUUGUAGUAAAUGUACAGAAGUUCUGUAGAGUCCAAUUCAAUCAACACACCAUGUGUUACACAGGGCUAUAUUCAAAUGUGUCUGAUAUAAAAGGAAUAGUUAUAUUGGUCGGUUUCUUGCAUUGAUUUAUUGAAAUAUGUUUUUCUUUUUCUCAGAAUUUUUUUGGUGACACCUGGAGGUAAUAUGGGACGCAUUGCUAUCACUGUGUCUGUCUGUUUGUCUUACUGGAGUAACGUCGCACACCCAGCUUCUUGGAAUAAAGAUUUCUUUCUCAUACAUUUUAUUAUACCUUAUUACACAUCUCUUACUAUCAUAGAAGCCAAUUGUAUUGCUUUGUCAGGAAUAGUUCAAUGAAAGGUGAUGAUAGCGAACAUAUCUAUGCUAAAUUCCGACUUUCAAAUGCAGCAUAAAAGAAUGUAUGUUCUUAAAACAAAAAUACCCCAGAAAUGCCUAUACUAAUGAAAUACUUCCUUGAUGUAUGUUCUAUUAAUGCCAUAUGGUUUUUUUUUUUACGCACCCUAGAGUCAGAACCCCGGGGAAGAUAUAAAUGUUUAAUUGUUAACACACGGAAUGUUGAACGAUGAUGGACAAAGACAAAUAGUACUAGGUCACCCGAGAAAUAUGCGCAUGAAUACAGUAUGAAGAGCAUGUAGCCCUCAAACGAAAAUUUUGUUAUAGUUUUGGAACAUUUAAAGCAUUUAGUGAGACAAUUUACUUACCAUUAAUCGAAACCAUUUGAUCAAAUUGUAUAUAUAUGACAGUCGAUGCUUACUCCUCCUAUGCACUUGAUCCCACCUCUUGUGUGCCCAGGGGUUCGUGUUUGCCCAACUAUCUACUUUGAAUUGCUUAUAGGAGUUAUGAGAUUGAUCACUGUUCGUUAUCUUCACCUUUCAUAUUAAAGAGUUGCGGGAUGUACUCAGCGGCUGGUAAAACCCAUACAUAACAUCAUAUACCAGGAAAUUAUCAUGACAUUUGAAUGGUGUUUGUCUACAAACAAUUACUUGUUUCAAGAUAAGAGUUAUUAAUGAUUUGAUCAAAUUUACUUGGACAAUCUCUUGCAAGGAAAAACAGUCGUUAAUCAUCAUCUUAAAGUGUAAAAGAAAUAGAGAAUAGUAUGUAAGUUAAUCCACUGACAUUCGCAUUACGUAGGAGGCGAUCUUGUUUUACCCAGUUUACAGAAAUUCAACAUGGCGGAUAAACACAAAGCUGGUUAAAUGGUACCUCCACAAAGGGAACAAAGGCUGAAUUGAUUGAUAGAGUCGGAGCUGACGAUCCAAUCAAGAACUUAAAGAAUAAGUCCACUAUCAUACCUCAUCAUCUAUGGUCGUCUCAUGGGCUUCAGCAGUUAAGCAAAACGCACAGAGUACUCAUGUGCAGAAUUUUGAAAAUACAACAAAUAUACUAAAUCAUGAUUGAAAUUUAUAAUUAUCUUUGAAAGCUAAUUCUAGCUAAUUCUAUGUUUUUCCCGAUUUGAAUAACUGUCUCCAUCAUCUUGGUGUCUGGUUAGGGAUUUUAUACAUAUUUGAUGUUGGUCAUCCUCAGGGAGCAAGUGACAGGUUCUUUUGUUUACAGACUUGCUAGGGACAAUGAUAUAUGCAAUGUCAUUAGGGCUCUCACCAAAGGCAAGAAGAUGAUGGAAACAAUAAGAUUGCUCGUAGAUUCAUUCAGAAUAAAGAUUUUAUAUUUAUUCCCUGGAAUUAUUGAGACUGCCAUGAAAAACAAGAGACCAAAUGUUGAAUGUGGAUUUGCACAUGUCACCUGUACAUUUAAAACAGGUUAAAUGGAAUUAGAUGCAAUGUAACAACAAUAUGCUAAUACCUAGAAAUGUCGGAUCCACAACGUCCAUACAAAGUCAAAUACAAAAACUUUAUACACUAAAAUGACACGAACAACCAGAUUGUUAAAUUUUCGGGAUCCCUUCUUCAGGACAAAUGAACAGGUGUACAUAAUAUGGCUAAUAAUAACAGAAAAUGACAAAACAACAAACAAAAUACAUCUAGCAUUACAACUACAGUAAAUCUAUAAACGUAUUUACACAUGUGUUGCAAACAUACAUAGAUGAUACAUUUUAUGGAAAACCCCAGCUCUAAAAAUCAAGUUUUACAAACAGAUUUAGAAGAACUAGAGAACAGAAUUUAUCCCCAUCAUGAAGAAAUGGCCUCUGAUAUUCAAACUGAGAAAGCCAAGUUAGAAACAAAUUGCGGUAAUCUGACAACAGCUGCCGACCAACAUGGCGAAAUCUGGCACCGGGAGAUCAUCGCUAUUGUCAACCAAUGGAAAUCUGAUAUUGCGGAGAUGAAAAAAUCAUAUGGCUGCCUUAAAUAAAAACACAGAUAAAAUCAUGCACAGUAUUACUAAACUAAAACAAAUCACUUUAAAUCUGAAGGCAAUAUCAGAAUCUAAUGAUAUCUUUAAUAUCUGUCUACAAAUCUAGGAAUAACGAGUUCAGAAUAUUGCCUCCAAAACUCCGAGUUACAUUACCAAAUUUCUCUCUUCAGAAAAUAAACACCAACCAGCUGCGUGAAAGGUUUGGUUAUCUGCUAUCAUUAUCCAUUAACACAGAAGAAUAUCACGGCACAAUUAAUACACUAGAAGCUUUAUCGUCUCCUUCGGUCAAACCGCUGAACUACAACUCACAGGCACCAUAUAUAAAAAAAAAAAUUGGUAUGACAAUUGUAUACGAUUAUACAGUGUUAGCUGUAUCAGUGAUGAUCUGUUGAGAACAAAAUAAGGAAGCUCCUUAACCACAAACUACAGCACACAUACAUACCGAGUCAGGUAGCACUCCAAGGAAUAUAGCAAUGACAAGGAACGGAGAUCUUGUUGAUACUGACGAUAAAAAUAAAACUGUAAACCUACUGAAGAAUAAACAGAUACAGACCGGGAUCACACUUCAGGGGUUGAUACCUCUCAAUGUCUGCAGUACCGCCUCUGAUGAUCUCCUGAUUACCAUGAUCAGUGAUGAUAGGAAACAAACUAAAGGUGUGCGUUACUCUGGCUCCAAAGAGAUACAAACCAUUUAGUUUGAUCAUCAGGGUCGUCCUCUCUAUUCAUCUGGUGGUUACACCAAAUGCAUUAGUGAGAACAGGAACCUGGAUGUCUAUGUAGCUAACAAUAAAGCUGUAGCAAAAGAGUGGUGGUCAAUCAGUCAGGAAAACUCCGAUUUAGAUACGCUGGUCAUUCCUUUAAUACCAAGAAAUCAUUUGCUCCACGCGGAUAUAGAUAUACUGAUCAUCCCUCUAAUACCACAAAAAUCACGUGGCAUCACCACAGACAACCAGAAUCACAUUUUGACAGCAAACCAUUACAUUGGCUGUAUCCACACCCUAGAUCAGGACGGACAGUCCCUCCAUUACAUUCAGAUCAGUGAUUUACGCUCUCCAUGGGGUUUAUGUGUGGACAUCAAAGGCAACCUCUUUGUGGCUGCGUUUUUCACUGCUGAAGUGAAGAAAAUCCAAUAUCUAUAACCACAAUAUUAAUUACACAUCUUAACACUUUGUUAAUUACACAUAUCAACACAGUGUUAAUCAUAGCUCUGUGUGAAUUACUGUCUUAAUUACGUCUACAAAAAUUAUUAAUUACAACUAUAAACACAAUGUCAAUUACAACCAUGUGUUAAUUAUAGCUGUAUGUUAAUUACAACAGUGUUGAUGAUAUGCAAAUAACAUGUGUAUUGACACAGUAUGUUUGUGGUUGGUUAUUUAAACAUUAUUCUAUUUGUGAAUUGCAUCUUUUAAUAUCUGUAUCAUGUUUAAAUGUAUAUACAUAGAUAAACAAUAUUUAGAG